rnacentral:rRNA from 1 species
CUGGCGGUGUGCUUCAUACAUGCAAGUCGAACGAUAAGGUCCCUUCGGGGAUACAUAAGUGGCGGACGGGUGAGUAACACGUAGAAAAUCUACCUCGAGGAAGGGGACAACAGUUGGAAACGACUGCUAAUACCCUAUAUGAGCUGGGCUGAAACGCCUAUCUUGAAAGUUCCGGCGCCUUGAGAUGAGUCUGCGUCUGAUUAGCUAGUUGGUGGGUAAAUGCCUACCAAGGCGACGAUCAGUAGCUGGUUUGAGAGGAUGACCAGCCACAAUGGGACUGAGACACGGCCCAUACUCCUACGGGAGGCAGCAGUAGGGAAUUUUGCGCAAUGGGGGAAACCCUGAACCGCAGCAACACCGCGUGAACGACGAAGUCCCUUCGGGGUGUAAAGUUCUGUCAGUAGGGACGAAUUUUGACGGUACCUACAAAGGAAGCAUCGGCUAACUACGUGCCAGCAGCUGC